rnacentral:rRNA from 1 species
UAGGGAAUCUUCGGCAAUGGACGAAAGUCUGACCGAGCAACGCCGCGUGAGUGAAGAAGGUUUUCGGAUCGUAAAACUCUGUUGUUAGAGAAGAACAAGGACGUUAGUAACUGAACGUCCCCUGACGGUAUCUAACCAGAAAGCCACGGCUAACUACGUGCCAGCAGCCGCGGUAAUACGUAGGUUGCAAGCGUUGUCCGGAUUUAUUGGGCGUAAAGCGAGCGCAGGCGGUUUCUUAAGUCUGAUGUGAAAGCCCCCGGCUCAACCGGGGAGGGUCAUUGGAAACUGGUAGACUUGAGUGCAGAAGAGGAGAGUGGAAUUCCAUGUGUAGCGGUGAAAUGCGUAGAUAUAUGGAGGAACACCAGUGGCGAAGGCGGCUCUCUGGUCUGUAACUGACGCUGAGGCUCGAAAGCGUGGGGGGCAAACAGG